rnacentral:rRNA from 1 species
CAGCAGCCGCGGGAAUACAGAGGGUGCGAGCGUUAAUCGGAUUUACUGGGCGUAAAGCGUGCGUAGGCGGCUUCUUAAGUCGGAUGUGAAAUCCCUGAGCUUAACUUAGGAAUUGCAUUCGAUACUGGGAAGCUAGAGUAUGGGAGAGGAUGGUAGAAUUCCAGGUGUAGCGGUGAAAUGCGUAGAGAUCUGGAGGAAUACCGAUGGCGAAGGCAGCCAUCUGGCCUAAUACUGACGCUGAGGUACGAAAGCAUGGGGAGCAAACAGGAUUAGAUACCCCCGUAGUCCCUGUCUAUUAUAA